UGAAAUUGAUUGUUUCUUUCUUACUGCUAUCUUAAACUGAUAAAAGGUGUUCUUGAUAGCUUGAUCUUGGUGAAAUGAAUCCUAAAUCUAGGCAAUGUUGUAUCUCGAGAAGCUCGUAAAAGUGAGUCCCAGGUUUGAGAAAAUAAUGAUUUUGCAAGACGUUGGUGAAGUGAACCUAGGUCUAGCCGAUUAGAACUUCAAAGUCCUGCGUUUGAAUAUCAACCAAAAUUAAUCUAUGAGUUUUCAACCUGAAAUUCAAACAGCCACGUGUCUCCCAUCCAAGUUCUUUGCAUCUUCUAGGUCACAAGUCCAAAUUAUCCUACACGCCCUUUUCUUUACUUUUACGUGAAAAAUCCCAAACUAAACAUUUAUUUUCUUCAUAUUCUUCACCAUAUUUCCCAAUUUUCUUCCAUUUUUUGACCAGAAGUUACAUCUCAACCGCCCUAAAAUAUUAUAGAUUACCAAAAAACCACGAAAAAAACCCUCUCCAAAACCCAUUCCAAACCCAUUUUUUCUCCCAAAAAAUUUUAUCCAUUUUCUUGAUUCUCAUGGAAGGGUAAGUGUUUUAUGAGGUAAAGAGUAAUUGGGUUGAGUUUUCUUUUAUGGGGGCCUCUACUUUUUUGCAAGAUUGUAAAUUUUUUCUUUAUUUAUUCAAGAACUCUACUUUACUUUCUUAUAAAAUUGUUGUAAUUUAUAUUCUUGUGAACUAAUCAUUCCGAAAGUUCAAGCAAUAAUUUGCCACGCAUGAAAUGUACUAAUUUAGAGAAAUAAAGUUGACAAUUGUUUGUUUUUUUUAUAAUUCUUGAUUCUUUGAUAAAUUUUGUUCAUAGUUUGAGUUGAGAUGGCUAGAUUUACUUUAAAUUUUGUUCAGUGUAAUAAAAUAUAUCCUUUCUCUUGGACGAAUUUAAUUUUCUUGAACCCAAUUUGUCAUUUUAUUCAAGGUAUGCAAUGUGCCAUUUUUUUUGGAAAUUUAAAGGAAACCUCGUUGAAUGGUGAAUUAUUUUCUAUCAUUUUUUUCUAGCGUUUGUGUCUGGCAAUCUUUUGAUUUGGUAAUUCUUGGAAUAAAUAUUCAUGCUAUGCACUUGUUUGUUGAACAAAUGAUGGGUAAAUAAAGCAAUUUCUUUUAUAUGCAUAUUUGUUUUUAUUCUUGUUAGGUAAAAGGUGUGAAUCUUGAACAAAUUAAUUUUGGUGUUCAAGAAAUUUGAUCCCAAAGUUAAUUUGACCAAUAAUCUUUUAAACCUUUCAAUUUUUACUUUCCAUUUUUGGAUCCCCAAGGAUAGAAAACCCUCGUAUACUCAAUUACUCUGGCCUCACAUUUAUUAGUUGAGUAUUUUUUUCACAUAUUUUACUAUCUUGAGUUGGAACAACCUAGAAUUUACUUUGUUACUUGUCACAACAUGAUUCUUUAAAUUUCUUGCUUAAUCUUUUCAUGCUUUCUUAGUUUAUCUAACACUCUUUUCUAGUUUCAAUUCAAGUUAGAAUUAUUUCCACUCCCUUGGUUCGACACUCUCACUUGCCACCACACUAUGGUAAUAAGUGGGUUUUUAUAAAUAAUCUUUUGUCAAGGUGAAUUGGUACGUCUCUAUCCUUUUCCUAAUCAACUAGUGUUCCAUUUUCCAUAUAAUUAGCAUAUAUUGUUACAUGAUUACCAUUUAAAUGGGCUUGCCAAUUACAUAUUACAUACAACAUUCAAGCCUUGCCAGCGAGUAAAUGCCGGUGAAAGUGAAUCCUAGUCUGAGCAAGGGAUAAAAAUGUGUUCUUGAUAGCUAGAUGCUGGGGGAAGGUGAAUUUCAUGUAUAGGCAAUGAGAUGCUGAUAAAAGUGAAUCUCAGAUUUGAGAAAACAAUGAUUUUGCUAGACGCUGGCGAAAUCCCAAGUCUAGGCGAUUAGAUGUUGUGAAGUGCAUCCCAGGUCUAGGAGAUUAGAUGUUGUGAAUGGGAGAAUCCCAAAUUUUGGCAAUGAAUAAUGAACAUCCUGAUGAAUGAAACACGUGGAAUUUCUUUGAUUGUUGUGUUUAUGAUUUAAUGCUAUGAGAAUUUAUGUUCUUAAGAUUAAGAUUGUUGUUAAUGAAAAUGUUGUAUUCCCCCUAAUAAGGUAUUUCUUAAACCCAUCACACACUAAGUCUUUAACUAACCUUUUAGUUUUCUCCUCCCCAAGUUGUCAGGCGUUGAAGAUAAGUAAAGAAUGAAUGUCAGGUGUAGAAGCCAAGUAAAGAAGGGAAAUGUCCGUUAUCAUGUAAACCCAUUUCACAUUUGAGGAGUUGGCAGGCAAUUCUUAUACUCCUAAAUGUUGAGGGCUACAACUCAAUUUUGAGGAGAAGUUGAAUGCUUCAGCACAAUUUUGAAGAGAUGCCAAGGGCAGCAUCACAAUUUUGUCUUGCCGAAGAAGACGAGUGGAAGAAAUGAGCCAAGAAUGAAGAGCCUAAAGUUAUCAAUUUAGUCUUGUCAUAAUUGUAGAAGUGUGAAAUUCAGUUGUACUUAGUGUAAUGAGUUAAGUGAAUAAAGCGAAAAAGUUAAGCAUAUUCAGCUACAUCAUUGUUAUUAUUUGCCAUAUCCUGUAAAAGUUAAAAGUUAUUUUCAAUCAAGUAAUGAGGGCUAGGUGAUGGAGC
rnacentral:lncRNA from 1 species